GGAGAGGUGCCAGAGCGGUUGAAUGGGGCGGUCUCGAAAACCGUUGUGCCUUCGCGGGUACCGUGGGUUCGAAUCCCACCCUCUCCGCCA
rnacentral:tRNA from 1 species